AUGUACGCCCGUACACUCCGGUUCCUCUGCGCCGUCCGAGCUCGCCCGCCAUUGCUUGCUACGUUUUAUUGGCU
rnacentral:sRNA from 1 species